UGCCAAACGAGUCAUUAAAAAAUUAACAUCGUCUGAUUCCUAGUCGGCAUAGUUUAUGGUUAAGACUACGACGGUAUCUGAUCGUCUUCGAUCCCCUAACUUUCGUUCUUGAUUAAUGAAAACAUCCUUGGCAAAUGCUUUCGCAGUAGUUAGUCUUCAAUAAAUCCAAGAAUUUCACCUCUGACAAUUGAAUACUAAUGCCCCCAACUAUCCCUAUUAAUCAUUACGGUGAUCCUAGAAACCAACAAAAUAGAAUCAUGCCGUCCUAUUUUAUUAUUCCAUGCUAAUGUAUUCAAGCAAAAUGCCUGCUUUAAACACUCUAAUUUUUUCAAAGUAAAGGUCCUGGUUCCCCGCGACACCCAAUUAAGGGCAUUGCGGUUCUCCAGAAGGUGAGAAAUUGACUACACCAGUUCAUACCCCUUAAGGCACGACCGAUGUGUCAAUCCCGAAAUUCAACUACGAGCUUUUUAACUGCAACAACUUUAAUAUACGCUAUUGGAGCUGGAAUUACCGCGGCUGCUGGCACCAGACUUGCCCUCCAAUUGUUCCUCGUUAAGGGAUUUAAAUUGUACUCAUUCCAAUUACGAGACCCGAAAGAGCCCCGUAUUGUUAUUUAUUGUCACUACCUCCCCGUGUCGGGAUUGGGUAAUUUGCGCGCCUGCUGCCUUCCUUGGAUGUGGUAGCCGUUUCUCAGGCUCCCUCUCCGGAAUCGAACCCUAAUUCCCCGUUACCCGUUACCACCAUGGUAGGC
rnacentral:rRNA from 1 species